AUACGUAGGUGGCAAGCGUUGUCCGAAUUUACUGGGUGUAAAGGGCGUGUAGGCGGGUGCCUUAGUCAGUGGUGAAAUACCGGGGCUCAACCCCGGGGCUGCCAUUGAAACUGGGCAUCUUGAGUGCAGGAGAGGAAAGCGGAAUUCCUAGUGUAGCGGUGAAAUGCGUAGAUAUUAGGAGGAACACCGGUGGCGAAGGCGGCUUUCUGGACUGUAACUGACGCUGAGGCGCGAAAGCGUGGGGAGC
rnacentral:rRNA from 1 species